AAACAGUUAGCUCAGUUGGUAGAGCACCACUGAAAUGUGGGCGUCGGGGGUUCGAGUCCCUCACUGCUUC
rnacentral:tRNA from 1 species